CAGGAGGGCCCUGCAGCUGCACUAAUUUCUAGCUUCUCUCUGUUAACAAAAAGGUGGGGGGUGGGGGGAAAGCAAUCAGAUUUUUACUGGAGUAUACACCAGCCUUGGCCAAGUGCUUUGAAACUUUUAGAAUGUCUUCUUUCAUUGAAAAUAAAAGAAGCAGAGCUUAUGGUGUAAUAAGCCAAACACAACAGUUACUGAACUUGAGUCAACAUUGGAUACCAUUACAGCUUUCAGGAUAGUCAUGGGAAUGUAUGAAAUGACAUACGAGUAAAACUAGAAAAAAAUGAUAGAAUGCGAUUUAUGUUGAUUCCUGGUCAAGUGAACACAAGCCGGCCCACUGAACCAGAAGAAAAGAGUAAUAGAACUCUUGAAAGAGAAGAUAAAACCCACCGUAUCCAGAUAUUGCUGGGAAGAAAAAUAAAAACAACUAUUAAAAAUUUAAAAUCACUUUUAGAAAGCUUCCUUGCAUUAGUGCUAUGAAAUAGAAAGAGUCUUGGAGAACAGGAUUUGUUCACGUUAAGUUGGGCAAGUCUUCUCUUCCUGGGCUCAGUUUCCUCAUCUGCAGUGCAUGAGGUCAUUGAACUCCAUAAGCCCUAAGGAUCCUUCUGGUUUCAAAAAUCCCAUAACGUCUGAUAUAGAACACUUACCUUGACAAAGCUCUUCAAGUCAUUUUCACCUUCACAUAUUGAUUUAUCUGUGUAGUGACAUUUAAAGUGAAUUCUAAUCAGGAAAUAAAAGGCUGAUUUCUUCAGUAGAAGAAAUUGACAAUAAAAAAAUGUGAAUACAAGAGAGAAACAAAGGCCUGAUUACCAGAAGUCGAUCUAUAGGAUACAGAAUGUGGCAUUGUACAAAGUAGAAAUUCCUUUCUAAAAUUUAAGAAGAAAUCAUUGUAACAUCAGGAAUAAACAGGAAAAAGGAGAAAGCAUUAAGAUUUUCCAGUCAAGGAGAGAUCUGGAAACAUAAUGAUUUACCUCCUGCCAUAGCAAGCAUGGUAUAGCAAAUUUUAUGAUUUGGGGUUGAUCAAAAUUAUUGUGUGACGAAGACAUAAUUAAAAAAAGAUUUGACUCUGUCUCUAACCUUUUUUAAGGAAGGAAUUAUUUUCUUAAAAAUCAAGAACAAAUCAAGGACCAAAUAUCUAUAACUAAAGCACAAAUUAAGUGUUCAGAAGAAUAUUGGGGAGAAAAAGCAGAAUGCAAAAGGAAAAAUGCCUUAUGGAAAGAGCAUAGGAUUAAUAGUAAAUGAGGAAGAACUAUGACUCCUAAAGAAUUAUAAAUUUUAAAUUGUAUGAAAAAUAAUAUUGGUAAAACAGAAAAACUAAGAGAUAAUUGUAAGUAAAUAAAAAUGAAACAAGAUGUGUUGCCAUUAUUAUUAUAUAUCAGCUGCCCCAGUAAAGCAAUAAUUCAAGGUCAAAUAACUUAGAAUGGUCAGCACCUAAUAGUCUUGGUAAAUAGAGCAGGUCAAUAAAUAUAUAUUGAUUGGUUGAUUGAAUAAGAAAUGCUUGCAGUUAUUUUAGGAAAAUCAAAGUUGCUUGGGAAGUUAUGCAUGUAAUUUCUUAAACUAAGCAAGUAUAAAUUUCCUUUUGAAACAAUAUAAAACAAAACCUUUCCUAACAGUUACCUCUAAAUCCUAAACAAUGAAAUCUUUUAUAAGAUAAUGUUUAUAUAUAGCAAAACCUAAAUUGGAAAUAGAUAAAAUGUGGAAAUAUAAAUGUGCUUCUGUAGAAAGAAAUUAUAUUUUAUAUCUUUGAUGGUUUUUGAUAGGUGGUUGGAAUAGGGAAAAUUCUGUGUGAACAAUUUACCAAAAAAAUGCUAUACUUUCCUCUAAACCAAUAUUUGGACAUAUAAAUAUUUUCCAACUGGGUUCAGUUUUUGAUAUGGCCAAAGAUAAUGAUAUGUUAUUUCAAGACUGUAAGUCAAAAUAAAAUUGAUUUGAAAUGGUCUGAAUUAAUGAGAUGCCUUCCAUCCUGUAAGUUUCAACAUUGUCAUCUCAAGUGAUAAGAUAAUGAUGGACCGUUUCUUACCAAAUAUUUUAUUAAUUAACUCACGAAGCUUGGCCUGUUCAGUCAGUAUAGACACUAUGUUCCGGUGCCUUGGAUGUGAUUAGCAAGAUGUGAUUCCUUUAAAUAAUGAGCUCAAAACACAUAUUAAAUUUAGAAGUGGUAAGCUUACAGGAAAAAGAAAGAUCUGCUGGGAGUGAAUAAAAGGAAAAAGAAAAAAUGGCUUUGUGAUUUCUAUCAAUGGUGUGCAUGUGCGUGUGUGUGUGUGUGUGUGUGUGUGUGUGUGUACGUGUACUUGAAAGAGAGAGAGAAUGCAGGCAACAGGCAAGCUGGUAAGAAAUUUGAUGAAAUAGAGAAUAUGUCAAUGAUGUAUCCUAAGAAAAAAUAUAGAAUUUGAGGGCACAGAGUAAUUCUAAAUCCACCUCCAAUCCCAUGCAAUGAAAUAUUUCCUCGUCCAGCACUGGGAGUACUUGUGAUAUACGGCUCACCUCACUAAAUCUAAUAUCAUUUCAGCCCAGAGGGACACAGAGCAUGGUGACUGACUUAGCCUUUUUGAGGGAAGGGAUUUUGUUGACUGUUCAAAAUGUGUUGUCCUUAAUGGGAGGAUUUUUUUUCAAAUAAAGGUAAAUAAUGAUUUUUGAAGACUAAUACCUGUGAUGAAAAAUUAGUGUAAAAGAAAAUUUAUACUCAGUAGCAUCAUAAAAUAAGUAUAAUAUUAGCAGUGUGCUACAAAUAUUAUUUCUAAUGUUAAUACUUAAAGUGAGCUGAUAAUGAAACCAAUUCAGCUUAGUAUUAUUAAGCUUAUGCUUUUAUUUAGCUAGUUAUUUACAUCUGAAUCUAUGUCUACAUAUAGCUAUUCUAAAUAACAUUUGGAUAUUUGGUCUAUUUAAAAGUCUUUUUCCCCUCUUGUAAUAAAAAUGUUUUUAAAUUAUCUCCUAAUAUUUAGAAAAGAAGGAAAGUAUCUAUUAGAUAUUUAUAUCUUGUACUUGUGAGGGGUAAAACAGUGGAACUUAGAACUUGAAAGACUGCCUUGUUUUAGAGGGAAAACAAAGAUGCUAUUUCUGGCUAAUAAUUGUGAAUGUAACCUGAACCUUAAUUACUAAGGUAAAAAUAAACAAGUUCAAGAUACAAUCUCUUGCUAAAGUCUAUUCUUCAAUACAUUUCUUAAUACACAUGGUAACAUCUAAGAAUAAAAUUUCCAAGGAGGAAUGUGUCCUAAUGCAAUUACCUUGGAAAGUUUUCAUAUUUCA
rnacentral:lncRNA from 10 species